GUGUCAGCCGCCGCGGUAAAACGUAGGAGACAAACGUUAUCCGGAGUUACUGGGCGUAAAGGGCGUGUAGGCGGUUUGUUAAGUCUGGCGUGAAAGCUCUCGGCUAAACCGGGAGAGGUCGUUGGAUACUGGCAAACUUGAGGAUGGUAGAGGCGUGUGGAAUUCCGGGUGUAGUGGUGAAAUGCGUAGAGAUCCGGAGGAACACCAGUGGCGAAGGCGACACGCUGGGCCGUACCUGACGCUAAAGCGCGACAGCAUGGGGAGCAAACGGGAUUAGAUACCCCCGUAGUCC
rnacentral:rRNA from 1 species